AGCACAGGGAACAUGAAGGAGAGUAGCCAGACCUGGAGACAAAGACAGAUCUAAUGAUAAAAAAGACAGGAAGUCAACUAAGAUACAACAUACUGGUGGUUGCCACAAAGGACACUUUUUAAUAUUACUUUUUAUAAACAUAAAUAUUUCUAGUGCCAGAAGAUUAUGCAGUCCAUAGCAUAUGGCUAGUUACUUUGUAGUAAGUUGCAUAUGCUACUAGGAACACUCAUAAUUUUCAGUGGAUAGAACAAAUAGAAGGUUUAAUUUCCAAAUGAAAGAUAUAGUUUUCAAAACUUUCCUAUGUCACACACAUACUUUGUUCUAAUUCUGGUAUAAUACAGGGAUAAAAAAAGCAAAAGCAAGAAAGAGAAAGGAAGAGAGAGAGAGAGAAAGAAAGAAAGAAAGAAAGAAAGAAAGAAAGAAAGAAAGAAAGAAAGAAAGAAAGAAAGAAAGAAAGAAAGAAAGAAAGAAAGAAAGAAAGAAAGAGAGAGAGAGAGAGAGAGAGAGAGAGAGAAAGAAAGAAAGAAAGAAAGAAAGAAAGAAAGAAAGAAAGAAAGAAAGAAAGAAAGAAAGAAAGAAAGAAAGAAAGAAAGAAAGAAAGAAAGAAAGAAAGAAAGAAAGAAAGAAAGAAAGAAAGAAGGAAGGAAGGAAGGAAGGAAGAAAGAAAGAAAGAAAGAAAGAAAGAAAGAAAGAAAGAAAGAAAGAAAGAAAGAAAGAAAGAAAGAAAGAAAGAAAGAAAGAAAGAAAGAAAGAAAGAAAGAAAGAAAGAAAGAAAGAAAGAAAGAAAGAAAGAAAGAAAGAAAGAAAGGAAGGAAGGAAGGAAGGAAGGAAGGAAGGAAGGAAGGAAGGAAGGAAGGAAGGAAGGAAGGAAGGAAGGAAGGAAGGAAGGAAGGAAGGAAGGAAGGAAGAUAGGGUCAACAUGGAAUUUAGGAAUCCCAAACUUUGUACCUAGUGAGAUCUGAUGAACCCCCAUUUUAGAUUUA
rnacentral:lncRNA from 1 species